rnacentral:rRNA from 1 species
GAGGAAAAGAAACUAACAAGGAUUCCCCUAGUAACGGCGAGUGAAGAGGGAAGAGCCCAAGAUUGAAAGCUGGCGUCUUCGGCGUCCGCAUUGUAAUCUCAAGAAGUGUUUUCCGCUUCGGACCAAGCCUAAGUCCCCUGGAAAGGGGCAUCAUAGAGGGUGAUAAUCCCGUACAUGGCUUGGAGCGCCCGUAGCUUUGUGAUACACUUUCUAAGAGUCGAGUUGUUUGGGAAUGCAGCUCAAAAUGGGUGGUAAAUGCCAUCUAAGGCUAAAUAUUGGGGAGAGACCGAUAGCGAACAAGUACAGUGAUGGAAAGAUGAAAAGAACUUUGAAAAGAGAGUUAAACAGUACGUGAAAUUGCCAAAAGGGAAGGGUAGGAGGUCAGAGAUGCGGCCUAGGAUUCAGCCUUGCUUCUGCUUGGUGUUUUUUCUAGAUUGCAGGCCAACGUCGGUUUUGGGCGCUGGAGAAGGGUGAAAGGAAUGUGGCACCUCUCGGGGUGUGUUUAUAGCCUUUCACUGGAUACAGUGACCGAGACCGAGGACAGCAGCGUACUCGCAAGAGCGGGCCUUCGGGCACCUUUACGCUUAGGGCGUUGGCAUAAUGGCCCUCUACCACCCGUCUG